rnacentral:rRNA from 1 species
UCGGGAAUUUUGGGCAAUGGGCGAAAGCCUGACCCAGCAACGCCGCGUGAGGGAUGAAGUAUUUCGGUAUGUAAACCUCGAAAGAAUGGGAAGAAUAAAUGACGGUACCAUUUAUAAGCUCCGGCUAACUACGUGCCAGCAGCCGCGGUAAUACGUAGGGAGCAAGCGUUGUUCGGAUUUACUGGGCGUAAAGGGCGCGUAGGCGGCGCGGUAAGUCACUUGUGAAAUCUCUGAGCUUAACUCAGAACGGCCAAGUGAUACUGCUGUGCUAGAGUUCGGAAGAGGGAAGCGGAAUUCUUGGUGUAGCGGUGAAAUGCGUAGAUAUCAAGAGGAACACCUGAUGCGAAGGCGGGUUGCUGGGCCGACACUGACGCUGAUGCGCGAAAGCCAGGGGAGCAAACG